UUAUAAUCUAUUUUCACAGGAUUCAUCGACGUUUCACGUCGGUGGGAAGACGGUUAGAAUCCGUCACGGUAUCCGCCGCUGUAAGAGGGACGAAAGGCAUAGGAAGCCACUGGGAUUAAUCCUGGGAAGGCAUGUCGAGUAGAUAGAUCUCAAAGUCAGAAUACGAUCCUGGGAAAAUCUUGAAGA
rnacentral:ncRNA from 2 species